AGUAACGACAGAAGGAAACAGAAAAGCCACUGGAAGCAAUGGAUUGUGCAUUUCAAAGAAUCAGCGAGACCCUGAUGAGAAACACAGGCGGAAGAAAAAACAGACAUGGCUUUGGGAACAGGACAGAAUUUUGAAGUGUGGUGUAAGGAAAUGUGGAGAGGGAAAUUGGGCUAAAAUACUGUCACAUUGUAAGUUCAACAACCGAACAAGUGUCUUGUUAAAAGACAGGUGGAGAACAAUGAAGACUCUAAAACUGAUUAACUGAGACACUGAAGGCUGAGUAGGUUUGUUUCAGCUUAAUGCAAGGGCAGUUAAAUACUUGGAUCCCUACAUUUGUUCAGAACUUUCUGGUCAGUGAUGGGUCUUACAGUUUUUGUUGAGAGCAUUAUUUGUUUAUGAUAGUUUUAUUACAGAUUUGCACUGUAAAAAUAAAGUUAUAUGCCACCAGUGUUUUCUUUAAGAAUCUUUAUUUUUUAAACCAUAGAUACAUUGGACCCUAACAAAUUCAGUGCCCUAUCCCACAUCCUAUUUUAGUACAAAAGCAAGAGCCUGAUAAGAUAGGAAGUAUUUAUUUAUGGCUAUUUCUGUUUGCUCUAUUCCAUGUUUGUAGACUAACCUUACAAAAUGCCACAUAGAAAUGGAUUUUCUAAAGAAUUGAACUGGGUUGCUCCUUUGUGGUGUUUGGUUGGUUUUGGUUUAGUUUUUCUUGACUUAUAGCUAAUGUACUACUUAUUGAAGUCUUUACUACUAGAGUGAUAAAUGUUCAAAACAGUCUAAGAGUUCUGACAAGCUUGAGUUCGCUCAGUAGUUUCAUUUAAAGGAAGAUGAGUUUUCAUCAACAAUUUAUUCUUUACAAUAUUUACUCAAGGAUUAAUAAUUAGCAUUUUGAGUUUUAUGUGCUGUAUUUAGCAACUGAAUAAAAAUCUCACCCUAUUGAAAUAUCUAUGUUAGAAA